rnacentral:rRNA from 1 species
GUGAGGAAUAUUGGGCAAUGGGCGCAAGCCUGACCCAGCCAUGCCGCGUGAAGGUAGAAGGCCCUAUGGGUUGUAAACUUCUUUUAUACGGGAAGAAACUUCCGAACGUGUUCGGAAUUGACUGUACCGUAGGAAUAAGCAUCGGCUAACUCCGUGCCAGCAGCCGCGGUAAUACGGAGGAUGCAAGCGUUAUCCGGAUUUAUUGGGUUUAAAGGGUGCGUAGGCGGAAUGAUAAGUCAGUGGUGAAAGCCUGCGGCUUAACCGUAGAACUGACAUUGAUACUGUUGUUCUUGAGUAUAGUUGAGGUGGGCGGAAUGUGUAAUGUAGCGGUGAAAUGCUUAGAUAUUACACAGAACACCGAUUGCGAAGGCAGCUCACUAAGCUGUUACUGACGCUGAGGCACGAAAGCGUGGGGAGCAAACAGGAUUAGAAACCCGGGUAGUCC